rnacentral:misc_RNA from 1 species
UUUUUUUUUUUUUUUCCCCUGUUGAACGGAAAAGAGAACUACGUAUGAAAGAGGCAGAGAAGGCUAUUUAUAGGCUGAUAACGGCGUGUUAAACAGAACUGACUGCCUGCGCCUUUUGUUGAGGAAAAAAAAAUUAGAGUAAACGAGAAAGCGAAGGCAAAAUUGCCGACUAGGGGUAAGAAAAGCUAAGCCGUGUCCACUGCAAGCUUAUAAACCUGUCAAGAUGCCUUCGUUCAAAGAACUGACACAUGGAAACGUGAAUGCGAUCCCACUAAAAGCGCCAAAGCGGUAUGGCACAGAGCAGGAUUCCCGUGGGCGCUAAGAGUUGGCAGUUUUGCG